GUCAUACGAUUUUAGUUUGUUUUUAUACCAUCACUACUGUUUUAAAGCACGGGUUGUCUUGCCGUAGAGUGAGCUGAAGGUACGUGCUUAGAGAAAAACGCCGAGAAGACGUUUCGUUUCGUGUACUGUAUCAUGGUGGUAUCUUAACUCGCAGUGCGUAUCUAUGGCACUACUAUAAUUGAUGACGAUGUUACGAAAUAAUUUUUAUUUGAAGAAUAUAAUAGGGUACCAAGAAUACCCGCUAC